GCCACACUUUAUACUCUGAAGAAGCUAAGAGAGGAAAUGGAUCAAGCUAAGAGCGAGCAUCACUCUCUCCAGCUCAGUGUGAAGGACAGCAGUGCACAGGCUCAGAACAUCACGUGUGAGCUCCAAAGACUGCAGGCCCAGAGGAACUUAUGCUUGAAGGAGGUCAGGGUUCUGCAGGAGCAACAGGUCACUCAAGUUAAGAAAUGAAACCAUGACAUCAGCUAUUACAUAUUAAAUACCUAUUAGUAUAAAAUACUUGUUAGAGUUAUAUUAAAGAUCUGCAUGGUUAUUUUUUUAAAAUAAAGAAUUAAAUACAUAAAUGCAUGAUGAAUGAAUGUCUGUCUGUAUUGCUGUAUGUAUGUAUUUUUGUCCAUGCAGAAUAUAGCUAGAUUACAUAUGCACUAUUUUAAAAUCAGGUCAGUUAAUUAUAAUAUGCUGCAUUAUAAAUAUGCUGCUUGACAUUCAGUGUGAUUUUUUUACUGUCAGUGUGCAAGUCGCAGUGUGUCUGUUCUGGAGAGGGAAGAGAUGGACAGACUGCUGGAUAAUGCCAAGUCAGAACUGUUCUCAGAACAGAGGCGUUUCAGACACAAACUGGACUCUAUGCAUGAGAGGCUGGAUGAGGUGAGUCAGGAGCUGGAGCAGAGCGAGGAGGACUGCAGGGCUCUCCGACAGAAAUGCACUGAGCUGGAGGAGCAGCUGGCUGAUACAAUCAGAGAAAAAGAACAAAUAAAGCAGGUUCUCACUUUUGUUUUAUUCUUCUCAGUCUACAAUAAUAAUGUUUUUGAUAUCUGAUACAGACUGCAGACACUAUCAAUUUCAGUACAAUAUGUGUGCAGACUUCUCAGAAAGAUCUAGAGCAGCAGGUGAAGUCUCAGUCUACAAUAAUAAUAGUUUUUGUAUAUCUGAUACAGACUGCAGACACUAUCAAUUUCAGUACAAUAUGUGUGCAGACUUCUCAGAAAGAUCUAGAGCAGCAGGUGAAGUGUUUGGAGUGCUGGAGCGAAUCGUUGCUCAGAAGGAGCUGCUUUUGCAGGGAACCGAAGACGCAAAGGAAGGCCUUCUUCAGGAGCUCUGUUCACUGAAAGAGGAGCACAGCUUUCAGCUGAGAGAAAUGCAGAACAAGAAAGAGCAAGAGAUUGAGCAACUGACAUUACAGUUAACCAAAAACCACAAAGAGGAGCUUCAAAAGGUGCAUCAACAGGCAGAUGCUUUGAGAUCAGCUGCUCUCAGUGAACAAGCUCAGACCCACAAACAGAGCUUGGACUUCUUACACAACUGCAUCCAGAUGAAAGAUGAGGAGAUAAAGAGACUAAAAGAGGCUCUAGAGCAGCAUGAGGAGAAGAUGAGGAGGCAAGCAGAGGAACUCAAAAGAGAAACUCAGGAAAAGAUUCGAAAGGCUGUGAAACGAGAGGAAAGGAAAUGGGAGGAACAGAGAGAGAAGGCUCUCAAAGAGCAGCGUGGGUCUCUGGAGCAACAAAUAGAGGAGGCAGUGAAGAGAGGGAGAACAGAAGUGGAGAAGGAGAGAAGGAACGCACUGGCCUUACAGAGUAAAGUGACAGAGCUUCAUAAAGAGGCAGAGAAGGAGGUGGUGCGUCUGAAGCAAACUUUGCAGCGAUCUGAAAAGGAGCUUCAGGAGCUGAGGACAGCCCUCUCUGAGAAAGACCAAAAACACCAGAGAAGAACAGCCAGACUUGAGCAGCAGAGCCGGCGCUGGGCGCAGGACAUACACAGCGAGUGUGUUUGCUUGCAAGAGUUACUGGCUGUUGACAACAAGAACUCAUCAGACAGUCCUACAGUGAGUGAAACUCUUCAGACCCUGCAGACCCUCACAAAGGCCCUACAACAGCAUAUUAAUGAUCUAAAAGAUGAGCUCAACUCACAGAGAUGUGCUGCACUGCAACUCAGCCGAGAAAAGGAACAAGAGCUUCAUCUGCAGAAACAGCAGCUGAUGGAUGAAAAGGAAAGAGCGCUGGCUGCUCUAAAAGAGAAACUCAUACAGGAGCACAUUGAGGAAAUGAGCAGCAUAUCUCGAGCACAGCUGCACAUGAAGCAUGAUGACACAGACGAACUGUGUGUCCAUCUGCGCAGGCAGCUGCAGGCCAAAGAUGAUGAGCUCAGACAGUUGCAGAACAACAUGACACAGUGGAAAGACAAAACCACUGCAAGACUUGCACACAAAUUUGAGCUGGAGCUUAAAGCAGAGCUGGAGAGGAGGGUCCAAAAGCCCAGAGCAGAGCAGCAGAAGAGACUGGAAAGACUGGAGAAUGAGAUGAGACAUCUGACUGGGCAAUGCCAAGACUACAAGGAAUACCAGUUGGCCUCCACUGCUCUUCAGGGUGCUACAGACUUCCAAAACUCUCAAGUCACCAAAGACCCGACCUCAUAUAAACUGCUACAGCACCUCCAGAGUCGCAUUCGUCAGCUUCGAGGAGAGAGCCAAACCCGCUGCCCCAGCCCAGUGAAGUGGGACAGGGGUCCCACAGACCUGGGUGGGUCUUAUUUGGACACGAUUGCUCCAGCCCAGGACAGCUAUAGGACAGAGGAUCAUUUACCAGCGAAGACCGUCUCCAGUUAACAUUUACUUUCCAUUCUCUUGAAUUUAUUUGUCCAUUAGAUUGUUGAUUUUAUAGGAAAACCAUGUACAAGAAUAUAACUUCUUAAACCAUCUCUGUUGAGCUCAUGAUUAGCAAUGUUCAUGGUCUGGACACAGAAAUUAGCACUUCAUUGCAGGUGAAUGUUUCAUUUAGGACUGUUAAAGACCAAAUAUAUAUAUAGUGUUUAAAUUUACUGUGAAAUAAUGAACAGAUCUAGUGUGUUUAUAUAUAUAUAUAUAUAUAUAUAUGUGUGUGUGUGUGUGUGUGUAUAGUUAGUUUAAUUUAUUAGUAGUAAUAAUAGAACAGUAUAUAGUGUUUAUUAUAUAUAUAUAUAUAUAUAUAUGUGUGUGUGUGUGUGUGUGUGUAGCCAACAGUUUUUACAGCUGGUCAUUUAACUGUUAACUGUAUUUUUUGUGGAAGGUUUUUUUUGUGAUUUUUUUGUAAUUAUGAUUGUAAUUGAAUAACACUCCAUAAAACAGACAAUUCAUGUUUUUGUAUGAAUGUUCUUUCUGCAUAAAUAAAAUGUCACAAGCACAGAAGUAUAAUGCCAAACUGAUUUUAUUUAAAAACAAGUCUGUCUGUGUAAUAGUGUGAUGUAGUCAAUAUUUACAAAUUUUAGAUUUUGACAUCUAGCAAAAUGUAUAAAUUGCAAAACGUUUAAACAAUAAUUUAGGCCAAUGUUUAAACUGCAGGCAAAAUGGAUUUCCAGCUUAUUUUGCUGUUGUUUAAGAAUUACAGCCAGAAUUAGUGCUAUUUGUUUCUCCAUUAGAAAAACAGAGCCAGGUAAUAUGAACGACUGAAAUUGACAGAUUUCGAUUUGUGUGCCCAUGCAUCUCCUCCAAUAUAUUUUUCUGUUGUGUAUAUAGUUAAACCAACUAUAAAGAUGAGUGCUGUUGUCUCUGUCUGUCCAGUUCAAAAAACCCAUGGCAACCCUUCCGACAUGAAGCAGCCAUUCCUUUCAUGUACAUUCCUCAACUCAUAGUCUUCAAAAAAAAAAGUCCAAGUUUUUGAGCAGUUGGAUCUCCGCAAAAAAGCAAAUAUUACAUGAAAAUAAUGUGGCAGAUUGUAACAAAUCAAGCAGUCUGAAUCUGUACACAGUAUACUAGUACUCUGCAGUAAUACUAACUGCAUAAAGACAAAACUGAAAUAUUCUUGCAUUGUUAACCAGUAAUGUGUUUGAAUAUUCACGGCUAUCAACAGCAAACAGAGUGAAUAUGAAGUUGCAACUGCACAUACAACCAACGUACCACAGAGGGGAAAACAACUGACCACGUUCACAUAGUAUACUUCCCAUUUAGUCUAGUGCAAAUAUGGUCCCACCUACAAAAAAGUGCAGGUUGAAACAAAGAAUACAUGGCACAGGAAAAUUCUCAUGAGAGCAUUUGUGAAGUGCUCGUUAUGCUCCGCUCCUUAUGGUAAUUCCUUUAUUUGCACUGAUAAAGUUCAAGGUUUUUUUCACACAUGGGAUGCAAAGGUUUCAGAUGAAGUACUCAGAGAUUUCCCUCUAUAGCUCCAUGUCUUCCUCUCCAGAGUUGAGGAGUGCUGGGCUGCUGAACAGGGGGCUAAAAGUCUGCUCACUGGGUGCUGUGAACUGGGGCUGGGGCGGGGGGCUGCUGAUAGGCGGUACAGGGGUGGGAGUCUGUCUGCUCACUGCCAACUGCUUGCGCUGCUGUCUCUGUAAAGAGUCCUUCAGCCUCUGGGUGAGAGGGUCCUCAGGGGGGCGCCACAACACCAAUUCCAUACAAGAGCAGCUCCUGCAGAGGUGAGUGAAGAAGAUGAGCUCAGUGCUGUUGGUAGAAGCUGAUAUUCUGUUGCUGGAUUGGGAACACCACCACCUACCUCUGUUUCUUUUUUUUUUAAUCAUAUUUUGAUUUUACACUAUUGUUCAAAAGUUUGGGGUCUGUAAGAUUUUUCACGUUUUUAAUGUUUCUAGAAAAAAAGUCUCAUAUAGGCUGCAUUUGUUUGAUAGAAAAAUACAAUAAAACGCUAAUGUGAUGAAAUAUUAUUAUUAUUAUGAAAUAACUUGUAUUUUAAUAUUUUAAAAUGUAAUUUAUUCCUAUAAUGGCAAAGCUGAGGUCCUUUCUAAUAUGCUGUAAUAUGUUGAUUUGCUGCUCAAGAAAUAUUUCUUUCUAUUAUCAAUGUUGAAAACAGUUUAUACUUUUGUGGAAACCUUGAUAGAUUUUUUUUUUCUAGGAUUCUUUGAUGAAUAGAACGUUUUUAUUUUUUUUAGUUUGUUAUUACUGUUUAUUAUGCUUGACAAGUAGCAUACAUAGAAACCUGAAAAUAAGACACGUACACUAACUGUGCUACCGUAUGGGGUAGAAUGUCACCAAUCCCACGUUGUAGCCCCUCCCUUAAGCUGUCGGACAUCACCAGCACUGGUCUGCGCUGAGCCGGUUCCACAUCAAGCUCUUCUUCAUCGCUGUCAUCCUUCAAAGUUAUCCUGUAAAACACACACACACACGCACAAUAUAUCAAGACGAUCUCCUCUUUUUAAAGGUAGUAUAACAUCAGUUUGAACUUUCAUACAUCUCAUUUCUGAACAAUGACUCCACAAACACCAGCACAGAUACAAUGUGCCAAAGUCCCUUCAAGGCAAGUCAUUUCACUCGGCAUUUCAGUCAAAUCAAAUUCUCUAAAGCUGUUCAUCAAGCUUACAAUUAAAUUUCAUAUUUGAAAUCACCAUUGAAAUCUGACAACAACUAUCUCAUAAUUGUUGUGCUCAAAUAGCAUUUAAAAAAGACCAGCCACUGUUGCGCAUUGCACUUUCUCCCAUUCAUAAGUAAUAGGAGUGCACUGUCUUUGAAUGUGCACACGUACAGUUUGAAAUCAAGUUAAUGACGUCUUCAUUUCUGUCUCACCUGUCUUCUAUCUCUUGCAGUCUCCUCUGAGUGGCCUCUACCUCCAUGCCUGAGCCUUCUGUGGGAACUCUGGGUAGUGGAGAGGGAGUGGAUGUGAAGGGCAGACCCAUCUCCUCUGUUCUGGGUUCAGUCUGAAGCUGAACCGGGUUGGUCUCAGGAGGGGAAGUGGUGGUAGAGUCCACAGACCAUCUUUGGCUCACUUUAGGACUUGGAUACUCAUCUGCUCCUUCUUCUCCCAUCAGCUUUCGCCGUUUAGGACUGCAGCUUCUGUAGAAGCAAAAGGUCAUGAAAAACCCACUGCAGCACAUAGCAACUCUCAUGAGUGAAACCAAUUUACUUACUCAUCAUCUGUCCUUCUCCUCUGCUUCCUCAUGCAUCUUCUAUCCCAGCUUUUAAGUUUAAACGCACAGACAAAUAAAAUGUGAAGUCUUCAUUUAAUUGCAUAAAUGAAGAAUGUAUAAUAGUACAAGACACGUAAUACUUACGUAUUUGGCAUAGAUCCCCCUGUCAGAUGAUGCAAGUCUCUGGUUGGCUUGCUAACUGUGCCCAAAUCAAGGUUACUAAAGUGAGCGAGGGGGGAGAAUGUGAUGAACUCCAGCUCGCUGCUUCCUGGCCUGUUGCUCUGCAUGGUCCUUCAGCUGAAGAAGAGCUGAAAACAUUAGAAUUAAAUAGCAACUGCAGUCACGCAGUGUGAAUAGAAUUAGAAGAAUCUGGAAAACAGAAAAAUGAAUAAAUCAAUGGUUCUGGAUGUUCAGAACUCAUGCAGAUGUUCUGUACAACAUGACACGAGUUAUACUGAGUACAGAAGGGUACAAACUCAGUUUUUACCUUUAAAAAAUAUUUAAACCUUAUACAUAUAUACAUAAUUAAUGAUUAUUGUUUUAAGUAGGACAAACUGUCAUUUGCUGGUGUGAGUUUUAGAUGUAAUAAGCUAAACUGGUCGCUAACUAGUCACUAACUUGAUAAAUUCAUAUUUCCUCUAUCGUAGCCAUGACAUGUAAUGAAAGUUGUUUAUGCUCUG
rnacentral:lncRNA from 1 species